AUUGAACGCUGGCGGCAUGCCUUAAACAUGCAAGUCGAACGGUAACAGGUCUUCGGAUGCUGACGAGUGGCGAACGGGUGAGUAAUACAUCGGAACGGGCCUAGUAGUGGGGGAUAACUACUCGAAAGAGUGGCUAAUACCGCAUGAGAUCUACGAAUGAAAGCAGGGGAACGAAAAACCUUGCGCUACUAGACCGGCCGAUGGCAGAUUAGGUAGUUGGUGGGAUAAAAGCUUACCAAGCCGACGAUCUGUAGCUGGUCUGAGAGGACGAUCAGCCACACUGGGACUGAGACACGGCCCAGACUCCUACGGGAGGCAGCAGUGGGGAAUUUUGGACAAUGGGCGCAAGCCUGAUCCAGCAAUGCCGCGUGCAGGAUGAAGGCCUUCGGGUUGUAAACUGCUUUUGUACGGAACGAAAAGCCCUGGGUUAAUACCCUGGGGUCAUGACGGUACCGUAAGAAUAAGCACCGGCUAACUACGUGCCAGCAGCCGCAGUAACAC
rnacentral:rRNA from 1 species